GGGCCCGUAGCUCAGUUGGUUAGAGCAUUGCUCUGAUAAAGCAAAGGUCGUUGGUUCAAAUCCAACCGGGCCCACCA
rnacentral:tRNA from 1 species